rfam:Aspergillus cristatus strain GZAAS20.1005 Scaffold_Scf_1, whole genome shotgun sequence.
CCCCUGAUGGUCUAGUUGGAUAUGACGUUCGGCUGUAAUGGAAAUUGUAACCGAAAGGUCGCUGGCUCGAUUCCGGCUCGGGGGA